rnacentral:rRNA from 1 species
GACGAACGCCGGCGGCGUGCUUAACACAUGCAAGUCGAACGGUAAGGCCCUUCGGGGUACACGAGUGGCGAACGGGUGAGUAACACGUGGGUGAUCUGCCCUGCACUUCGGGAUAAGCCUGGGGAACUGGGUCUAAUACCGGAUAGGACCACUGCCUGCAUGGGUGGUGGUGGAAAGCUUUUGCGGUGUGGGAUGGGCCCGCGGCCUAUCAGCUUGUUGGUGGGGUGAUGGCCUACCAAGGCGACGACGGGUAGCCGGCCUGAGAGGGUGACCGGCCACACUGGGACUGGGAUACGGCCCAGACUCCUACGGGAGGCAGCAGUGGGGAAUAUUGCACAAUGGGCGCAAGCCUGAUGCAGCGACGCCGCGUGAGGGAUGACGGCCUUCGGGUUGUAAACCUCUUUCAGCACCGACGAAGCGCAAGUGACGGUAGGUGCAGAAGAAGGACCGGCCAACUACGUGCCAGCCGCCGCAGUAA